rnacentral:rRNA from 1 species
UACGAAGGGGGCUAGCGUUGUUCGGAUUUACUGGGCGUAAAGCGCACGUAGGCGGAUCGUUAAGUCGGGGGUGAAAUCCUGGAGCUCAACUCCAGAACUGCCUUCGAUACUGGCGAUCUUGAGUCCGGAAGAGGUGAGUGGAACUCCUAGUGUAGAGGUGGAAUUCGUAGAUAUCAGGAAGAACACCCGUGGCUAAGGCGGUUCUCUAGUACGGUACUGACGCUGAGACGCGAAAGCGUGGGGAGCAAACAGG